GCAGUCGCCGCGGGAAUACAGAGGAUGCAAGCGUUACCCGGAAUGAUUGGGCAUAAAGUGUCUGUAGGUGGCUUUUCAAGUCCGCCGUCAAAUCCCAGGGCUCAACCGUGGACAGGCGGUGGAAACUACCAAGCUGGAGUAUGGUAGGGGCAGAGGGAAUUUCCGGUGGAGCGGUGAGAUGCGUUGAGAUCGGAAAGAACCCCAACAGCGAAAUCACUCUGCUAGGCCGACACUGACACUGAGAGACGAAAUCUAGGGGAGCAAAUGGGAUUAGAUACCCCGGUAGUCCCUGUCUCUUAUAC
rnacentral:rRNA from 1 species